GACGAACGCUGGCGGCGUGCUUAACACAUGCAAGUCGAACGGAAAGGCCCUGCUUGCCUGGUGCUCGAGUGGCGAACGGGCGAGUAACACGGGGGUGAUUUGCCCCUUACUUUUGGAUAAGGCUUGGAGACGGGGUCUAAUACUUGAUAGGACCAUGCUGUAGGGGGUGAGGUGGGAGGAUUAGUGUCGGUAAGGGGUGAGCUCGCGGCCUUUACGCUUGUUGUUGGGGGAGUGGCCUACCAAGGCCUCGACGGGUAGCCGGCCAGAGAGGGUGGACGGCAACGUUGGGACUGAGACGCGACGCAGAAGCCUGCGGGAGGCGGCAGUGGGGGAAAGUCCACAAUGGGCGCACGGCGGAUGCAACGACGCCGUGUGGGGGAUAAAGGCCUUCGGGUUGUAAACAACUUCCAGCCAUGAAGACGCCCUUGUGGUGACGGUAGUGAUAGAAGAAGCACCGGCUAACUACGUG
rnacentral:rRNA from 1 species